rnacentral:rRNA from 1 species
ACGAACGCUGGCGGCGUGCUUAACACAUGCAAGUCGAACGGUGAAGCGCCUUCCUUUUUGGUGGGUGUGGAUGAGUGGCGAACGGGUGAGUAACACGUGAGUAACCUGCCCCCUUCUUCUGGAUAACCGCAUGAAAGUGUGGCUAAUACGGGAUAUUCUGGGUCUGUCGCAUGAUGGGUCUGGGAAAGAUAUUGUUUCGGUGGGGGAUGGGCUCGCGGCCUAUCAGCUUGUUGGUGGGGUGAUGGCCUACCAAGGCGGUGACGGGUAGCCGGCCUGAGAGGGUGGGCGGUCACACUGGGACUGAGACACGGCCCAGACUCCUACGGGAGGCAGCAGUGGGGAAUAUUGCACAAUGGGCGCAAGCCUGAUGCAGCGACGCCGCGUGAGGGAUGGAGGCCUUCGGGUUGUGAACCUCUUUCGCCAGUGAAGCAGGCCUGCCUCGUUUGUGGGUGGGUUGACGGUAGCUGGAGAAGAAGCGCCGGCUAACUACGUG